UACGGAGGGUGCAAGCGUUAGUCGGAAUUACUGGGCGUAAAGGGUGCGUAGGCGGGGAUGUAAGUCAGAUGUGAAAAACUGGAGCUUAACUUCAGCCCUGCAUCUGAAACUGCGUUUCUAGAGGAAAGGCGGAGAAAACGGAAUUCCACGUGUAGCGGUGAAAUGCGUAGAUAUGUGGAAGAACACCUGUGGCGAAAGCGGUUUUCUAGCUUCCUCCUGACGCUGAGGCACGAAAGCAAGGGGAUCAAACAGG
rnacentral:rRNA from 1 species